rnacentral:rRNA from 1 species
GAUGAACGCUAGCAGCAGGCUUAAUACAUGCAAGUCGUGGGGCAGCGCAGGUAGCAAUACUGGGCGGCGACCGGCAAACGGGUGCGGAACACGUACACAACCUUCCGAGAAGUGGGGAAUAGCCCAGAGAAAUUUGGAUUAAUACCCCGUAACAUAACGAUGUGGCAUCACAUUGUUAUUAUAGCUUCGGCGCUUCUUGAUGGGUGUGCGGCUGAUUAGGUAGUUGGCGGGGUAACGGCCCACCAAGUCUACGAUCAGUAGCUGAUGUGAGAGCAUGAUCAGCCACACGGGCACUGAGACACGGGCCCGACUCCUACGGGAGGCAGCAGUAAGGAAUAUUGGUCAAUGGACGCAAGUCCGAACCAGCCAUGCCGCGUGAAGGAUUAAGGUCCUCUGGAUUGUAAACUUCUUUUAUCUGGGACGAAAAAAGGCGAUUCUUCGUCACUUGACGGUACCAGAUGAAUAAGCACCGGCUAACUCCGUGCCAGCCGCCGCGGUAAUAC